AGCAGCCGCGGUAAUUCCAGCUCCAAUAGCGUAUAUUAAAGUUGUUGCAGUUAAAAAGCUCGUAGUUGAAUUUCGGGAUCAAUACGUCGGUCGUGCUUCGGUACGUACUGGCGUCAUUGAUUUCUCCCUUCUGACGAACCAUGAUGUCAUUAACUUGGUGUCAUGGGAAAUCAGGACUGUUACUUUGAAAAAAUUAGAGUGUUUAAAGCAGGCUCACGCUUGAAUACAUUAGCAUGGAAUAAUGAAAUAGGACGUUCGAUCCUAUUUUGUUGGUUUUUAGGAUCAACGUAAUGAUUAAUAGGGAUAGUUGGGGGCAUUAGUAUUCAAUUGUCAGAGGUGAAAUUCUUGGAUUUAUUGAAGACUAACUACUGCGAAAGCAUUUGCCAAGGAUGUUUUCAUUAAUCAAGAACGAAAGUUAGGGGAUCGAAGACGAUCAGAUACCGUCGUAGU
rnacentral:rRNA from 2 species